rnacentral:rRNA from 1 species
CCUCGGCUCGAACGAACGCUGGCGGCGUGGCUAAGGCAUGCAAGUCGAACGGAUGCACUCUGCGGGUAACCAAGGGGUGCGUUAGUGGCGAACGGGUGAGGAAUUCAUGGAUAACGUGCCCUGGACACGGGGAUAGCGGCGGGAAAGUGCCGGUAAUACCCGAUGAUCCCGCAGGACCGCAUGGUCUUGCGGGCAAAGCUCCGACGGUCCGGGAGCGGUUCAUGUCCUAUCAGCUUGUUGGUGGGGUAACGGCCUACCAAGGCGACGACGGGUAGCGGGCGUGAGAGCGUGGCCCGCCACAUCGGGACUGAGACACGGCCCGGACACCUACGGGUGGCUGCAGCAACGAAUAUUCCGCAAUGGACGAAAGUCUGACGGAGCGACGCCGCGUGCAGGAAGAAGUUCUUCGGAAUGUAAACUGCUGUCAGGGGUUAGGAAAUUUGACCAGCCCCACAGGAAGUCUCGGCUAACUACGUGCCAGCAGCCGCGGUAAUACGUAGGAGGCGAGCGUUGUUCGGAAUCAUUGGGCUUAAAGAGCGUGUAGGCGGAAACGCAAGUGUCGGGUGAAAGCCCUCGGCUCAACCGAGGAAUGGCCUGGCAAACUGCGUUUCUUGAGGCGGGUAGAGGUGAGUGGAACGACUGGUGGAGCGGUGAAAUGCGUAGAUAUCAGUUGGAACGCCGGUGGCGAAAGCGGCUCACUGGACCCGUCCUGACGCUGAGACGCGAAAGCGUGGGUAGCGAACAGGAUUAGAUACCCUGGUAGUCCACGCCGUAAACGAUGCGCACUAGGUAUGAGAGGCUCUGACGCCGAUCGUGCCGUAGGAAAACUGAUAAGUGCGCCGCCUGGGGAGUACGGCCGCAAGGCUAAAACUCAAAGGAAUUGACGGGGGCUCACACAAGCGGUGGAGCAUGUGGAUUAAUUCGAAGCAACGCGAAGAACCCUACCUGGGUUUGACAUGUAUGGAUGCCCUUUGGGAAACCAGAGUAAGCUGCCUUCGGGUGAAACAUACACAGGUGCUGCAUGGCUGUCGUCAGCUCGUGCUGUGAAGUGUCGGGUUAAGUCCCUUAACGAGCGAAACCCCUAUCGUUAGUUGCCAGCGGGUCAUGCCGGGGACUCUAGCGAGACUGCCGGCGACAAGUCGGAGGAAGGUGGGGAUGACGUCAAGUCCUCAUGGCCUUUAUGCCCAGGGCGUCACACGUGCUACAAUGGCCGGUACAGAGCGAAGCGAGACCGCGAGGUGGAGCAAAUCGCACAAAACCGGCCUCAGUUCGGAUUGGAGUCUGCAACUCGACUCCAUGAAGUUGGAAUCGCUAGUAAUCGCGGAUCAGCAACGCCGCGGUGAAUAUGUUCCUGAGCCUUG